AUGCCGACGUCACUAACGGACGAUGUCGUCUCCGAGAUACUCUCCUGGGCGCCGGUGAAAUCAGCGUGCCGGUUCCGGUGCGUGUGCAGGGGUUGGCGCGCGCUCAUCUCCGACACCGCGUUCCUCGCGGCGCACAAGGCCCGCACGGAGCCGCAGCUUCUCCUCGUUGCCAACUACUAA
rnacentral:rRNA from 1 species